rnacentral:misc_RNA from 1 species
AUAUAAAAGUUUUUUUUUUUUAAUUUUGAAUUAUUUUUAAAAUUAAUUUUAAUAAAAUAUAUAAAUUAUUAAAAAAUAACAUCAAAUAAAAUUUUAGGUUUCAUUUAACAACAGUUUAACUUAAAAAUCCACAAUCCCAUUCCAAUAAAUCAUCACAGAAUCACACAAAUCCAAGCAUAGUUUACUUCACAAACCCUAUAUAUCUAUAGAGCAAGAGAGAGAGAGAGAGAG